GUGUGACUGCGUACCUUUUGUAUAAUGGGUCAGCGACUUAUAUUCUGUAGCAAGGUUAACCGAAUAGGGGAGCCGAAGGGAAACCGAGUCUUAACUGGGCGUUAAGUUGCAGGGUAUAGACCCGAAACCCGGUGAUCUAGCCAUGGGCAGGUUGAAAGUUGGGUAACACUAACUGGAGGACCGAACCGACUAAUGUUGAAAAAUUAGCGGAUGACUUGUGGCUGGGGGUGAAAGGCCAAUCAAACCGGGAGAUAGCUGGUUCUCCCCGAAAGCUAUUUAGGUAGCGCCUCGUGAAUUCAUCUCCGGGGGUAGAGCACUGUUUCGGCAAGGGGGUCAUCCCGACUUACCAACCCGAUGCAAACUGCGAAUACCGGAGAAUGUUAUCACGGGAGACACACGGCGGGUGCUAACGUCCGUCGUGAAGAGGGAAACAACCCAGACCGCCAGCUAAGGUCCCAAAGUCAUGGUUAAGUGGGAAACGAUGUGGGAAGGCCCAGACAGCCAGGAUGUUGGCUUAGAAGCAGCCAUCAUUUAAAGAAAGCGUAAUAGCUCACUGGUCGAGUCGGCCUGCGCGGAAGAUGUAACGGGGCUAAACCAUGCACCGAAGCUGCGGCAGCGACGCUUAUGCGUUGUUGGGUAGGGGAGCGUUCUGUAAGCCUGCGAAGGUGUGCUGUGAGGCAUGCUGGAGGUAUCAGAAGUGCGAAUGCUGACAUAAGUAACGAUAAAGCGGGUGAAAAGCCCGCUCGCCGGAAGACCAAGGGUUCCUGUCCAACGUUAAUCGGGGCAGGGUGAGUCGACCCCUAAGGCGAGGCCGAAAGGCGUAGUCGAUGGGAAACAGGUUAAUAUUCCUGUACUUGGUGUUACUGCGAAGGGGGGACGGAGAAGGCUAUGUUGGCCGGGCGACGGUUGUCCCGGUUUAAGCGUGUAGGCUGGUUUUCCAGGCAAAUCCGGAAAAUCAAGGCUGAGGCGUGAUGACGAGGCACUACGGUGCUGAAGCAACAAAUGCCCUGCUUCCAGGAAAAGCCUCUAAGCAUCAGGUAACAUCAAAUCGUACCCCAAACCGACACAGGUGGUCAGGUAGAGAAUACCAAGGCGCUUGAGAGAACUCGGGUGAAGGAACUAGGCAAAAUGGUGCCGUAACUUCGGGAGAAGGCACGCUGAUAUGUAGGUGAAGUCCCUCGCGGAUGGAGCUGAAAUCAGUCGAAGAUACCAGCUGGCUGCAACUGUUUAUUAAAAACACAGCACUGUGCAAACACGAAAGUGGACGUAUACGGUGUGACGCCUGCCCGGUGCCGGAAGGUUAAUUGAUGGGGUCAGCGCAAGCGAAGCUCUUGAUCGAAGCCCCGGUAAACGGCGGCCGUAACUAUAACGGUCCUAAGGUAGCGAAAUUCCUUGUCGGGUAAGUUCCGACCUGCACGAAUGGCGUAAUGAUGGCCAGGCUGUCUCCACCCGAGACUCAGUGAAAUUGAACUCGCUGUGAAGAUGCAGUGUACCCGCGGCAAGACGGAAAGACCCCGUGAACCUUUACUAUAGCUUGACACUGAACAUUGAGCCUUGAUGUGUAGGAUAGGUGGGAGGCUUUGAAGUGUGGACGCCAGUCUGCAUGGAGCCGACCUUGAAAUACCACCCUUUAAUGUUUGAUGUUCUAACGUUGACCCGUGAUCCGGGUUGCGGACAGUGUCUGGUGGGUAGUUUGACUGGGGCGGUCUCCUCCUAAAGAGUAACGGAGGAGCACGAAGGUUGGCUAAUCCUGGUCGGACAUCAGGAGGUUAGUGCAAUGGCAUAAGCCAGCUUGACUGCGAGCGUGACGGCGCGAGCAGGUGCGAAAGCAGGUCAUAGUGAUCCGGUGGUUCUGAAUGGAAGGGCCAUCGCUCAACGGAUAAAAGGUACUCCGGGGAUAACAGGCUGAUACCGCCCAAGAGUUCAUAUCGACGGCGGUGUUUGGCACCUCGAUGUCGGCUCAUCACAUCCUGGGGCUGAAGUAGGUCCCAAGGGUAUGGCUGUUCGCCAUUUAAAGUGGUACGCGAGCUGGGUUUAGAACGUCGUGAGACAGUUCGGUCCCUAUCUGCCGUGGGCGCUGGAGAACUGAGGGGGGCUGCUCCUAGUACGAGAGGACCGGAGUGGACGCAUCACUGGUGUUCGGGUUGUCAUGCCAAUGGCACUGCCCGGUAGCUAAAUGCGGAAGAGAUAAGUGCUGAAAGCAUCUAAGCACGAAACUUGCCCCGAGAUGAGUUCUCCCUGACUCCUUGAGAGUCCUGAAGGAACGUUGAAGACGACGACGUUGAUAGGCCGGGUGUGUAAGCGCAGCGAUGCGUUGAGCUAACCGGUACUAAUGAACCGUGAGGCUUAACCUU
rnacentral:rRNA from 1 species